rnacentral:tRNA from 2 species
GCCUCCGUAGCUCAGUUGGUAGAGCGCCCGCCUUGUAAGCGGAUGGUCGCGGGUUCGAUUCCUGUCGGAGGCU